UACGGGAGGCAGCAGUGGGGAAUAUUGCGCAAUGGGGGAAACCCUGACGCAGCAACGCCGCGUGAGUGAAGAAGUAUUUCGGUAUGUAAAGCUCUAUCAGCAGGGAAGAAGAUGACGGUACCUGCAGAAGAAGUCCCGGCUAACUACGUGCCAGCAGCCGCGGUAAU
rnacentral:rRNA from 1 species